rnacentral:rRNA from 1 species
GACGAACGCUGGCGGCGUGCUUAACACAUGCAAGUCGAACGGAAAGGCCCUGCUUUUGUGGGGUGCUCGAGUGGCGAACGGGUGAGUAACACGUGAGUAACCUGCCCUUGACUUUGGGAUAACUUCAGGAAACUGGGGCUAAUACCGGAUAGGAGCUCCUGCUGCAUGGUGGGGGUUGGAAAGUUUCGGCGGUUGGGGAUGGACUCGCGGCUUAUCAGCUUGUUGGUGGGGUAGUGGCUUACCAAGGCUUUGACGGGUAGCCGGCCUGAGAGGGUGACCGGCCACAUUGGGACUGAGAUACGGCCCAGACUCCUACGGGAGGCAGCAGUGGGGAAUAUUGCACAAUGGGCGGAAGCCUGAUGCAGCAACGCCGCGUGCGGGAUGACGGCCUUCGGGUUGUAAACCGCUUUCGCCUGUGACGAAGCGUGAGUGACGGUAAUGGGUAAAGAAGCACCGGCUAACUACGUGCCAGCAGCCGCGGUGAUACGUAGGGUGCGAGCGUUGUCCGGAUUUAUUGGGCGUAAAGGGCUCGUAGGUGGUUGAUCGCGUCGGAAGUGUAAUCUUGGGGCUUAACCCUGAGCGUGCUUUCGAUACGGGUUGACUUGAGGAAGGUAGGGGAGAAUGGAAUUCCUGGUGGAGCGGUGGAAUGCGCAGAUAUCAGGAGGAACACCAGUGGCGAAGGCGGUUCUCUGGGCCUUUCCUGACGCUGAGGAGCGAAAGCGUGGGGAGCGAACAGGCUUAGAUACCCUGGUAGUCCACGCUGUAAACGGUGGGUACUGGGUGUGGGGUCCAUUCCACGGGUUCCGUGCCGUAGCUAACGCUUUAAGUACCCCGCCUGGGGAGUACGGCCGCAAGGCUAAAACUCAAAGGAAUUGACGGGGCCCCGCACAAGCGGCGGAGCAUGCGGAUUAAUUCGAUGCAACGCGUAGAACCUUACCUGGGUUUGACAUGGAUCGGGAGUGCUCAGAGAUGGGUGUGCCUCUUUUGGGGUCGGUUCACAGGCGGUGCAUGCCUGUCGUCAGCUCGUGUCGUGAGAUGUUGGGUUAAGUCCCGCAACGAGCGCAACCCUUGUUCACUGUUGCCAGCACGUUAUGGUGGGGACUCAGUGGAGACCGCCGGGGUCAACUCGGAGGAAGGUGGGGAUGACGUCAAGUCCUCAUGCCCCUUAUGUCCAGGGCUUCACGCAUGCUACAAUGGCUGGUACAGAGAGUGGCGAGCCUGUGAGGGUGAGCGAAUCUCGGAAAGCCGGUCUCAGUUCGGAUUGGGGUCUGCAACUCGACCUCAUGAAGUCGGAGUCGCUAGUAAUCGCAGAUCAGCAACGCUGCGGUGAAUACGUUCCCGGG